AUUGAACGCUGGCGGCAUGCUUUACACAUGCAAGUCGAACGGUAACAGGCCGCAAGGUGCUGACGAGUGGCGAACGGGUGAGUAAUGCAUCGGAACGUCCCCAGUCGUGGGGGAUAACUACUCGAAAGAGUAGCUAAUACCGCAUACGAUCUAUGGAUGAAAGCGGGGGACCGUAAGGCCUCGCGCGAUUGGAGCGGCCGAUGUCAGAUUAGGUAGUUGGUGGGGUAAAGGCUCACCAAGCCAACGAUCUGUAGCUGGUCUGAGAGGACGACCAGCCACACUGGGACUGAGACACGGCCCAGACUCCUACGGGAGGCAGCAGUGGGGAAUUUUGGACAAUGGGCGCAAGCCUGAUCCAGCAAUGCCGCGUGCAGGAAGAAGGCCUUCGGGUUGUAAACUGCUUUUGUACGGAACGAAACGGCUCUGGUUAAUACCCGGGGCUAAUGACGGUACCGUAAGAAUAAGCACCGGCUAACUACGUG
rnacentral:rRNA from 1 species